UCGGGAUCCGGGGAGGAAAGUCCGGGCUCCAUGGAAAAACGGUGCCGGGUAACACCCGGCGGGGGUGACCCUAGGGAAAGUGCCACAGAAAGCAAACCGCCUAUUUCAUAGGUAAGGGUGAAAGGGUGGGGUAAGAGCCCACCGCGCACUCAGUAAUGAGUGUGGCAAGGUAAACCCCACCGGGAGCAAGACCGAAUAGAAAUGACGUGCAAGAUUUUACUUGCAGCCAGUUUCCAGGUGAGUCAUUUGGGUAGGUUGCACGAGGCGGAUGGUAACAUCCGUCCCAGAUGAAUGGUUGCCAUGUAGAGUGUAAACUUUACCAUACAGAACCCGGCUUACGAAUUC
rnacentral:RNase_P_RNA from 2 species